GCACCGCGAAAAGAACCACUCUCAACGUUGCUCCGUCACGGCAAAACAGGAGCAUUCACUCUUCCUGACGUGCUCCGCGCAGAAACAAAAAUACAGUGGAAUGGAGAAUAUCAAGGAGGAAAUUUGCCUGGUGGCAAAUAUAAUUGAUCGGCUACUCGCAGCAAAUGGAAGCUUGCGCGCGGAUGAGCUGGAACCACUUACAAAGCGCCUGCGCGUGGCGGCAGGCGAAUUGUCUCGCAUCGAUCAGGAAUCACAAUCUGGCCCAGUUCUGUCUCCUUUUUCACGGAACAUCGACGGCGCCGAGGGCAUUGGAGGCGGGGGUAGACGAGGCCCCUCCAAGUUGCAGCUAUCAAAGUCUCUCACACCUUUGACGGCAACGCGGAAGCAAAUACGAGGGUGCCGCAGUUUCUCUGCUACAUGUAAGAAAAUGGGAGAUCCAAAGGUUUUCGUGUCUUCCGAGAUCUCGCAAUCGGUUUGCUGCUCGCUUUACAACCUGCUGGAAGGGACCACGCGUCUGCUUCGUGGUUCACACGGCCAUAUUUUUGUGAAGCGUGGUGUUGAUAUGUUUUCGAUCGCGAACGUGUCGCGAAAGUUGGCUUUUCCACCUCCACAGGUUCAUCAUAGAUGCCUUGGCAGCGCAGAUGCUGAGGUUCUCGGCAGCUCCAUUGCGUUGAACCGCAACGUGGACGAAGUUGGGAGAAAGAGCGCCGUUCUAAUAUUUCCAGUUCACAAACUCCUCCCUGAAGGCGGACCUGGCGAGCCUAUCGCAACAAUUCACGUGGAGCGAAGGGAGCAUGUUUUUUUUCCGUUUAGUGAAAGCGACGAAUAUACACUCUACUUUGCUUCGCUCUUCUGCGGCGAGCUAAUGUCCCGUAUUCCGCAGAUCAACUUCCUUGAGACAUUUUACGACCCGUCAACGCAGCUCAUUAUUGCGCCGUUUGAGCCGCACUGCCCUGUAGUAUUGCCUCCCAUAGAGCGUGGCAUGGUGCCAAUGCGUGGGGAGACGGGAAAGCAGGCAUCCGAGAACCCGGAGUAUGCGGCACGAGCGGUUUCUCAGCUGUCGCGGAAGAUCAGCGCGCGUGCUCCAGAGAUUCUAAUUCACCGCGAGAGUCGACCGACACACAAUACGAAACCGUUUGCUCCUGGUGUGACACAUAUGCCAUCGCUGCUGGAAAUCAAAGCUUACGUUGAAAAUUUGCAAUCGUGCUGGAAGAAAAAUAUGCUGGACAAUGUUGACCUGCUAGAGUUGGACCGCGGUACCCAGCAGGACUUGAAAGUAGCAAGAAGCGAACUGGCUGCCACACGCCGUGAGCUUGCUGCCACAGCCGAUAGGCUGCGUCUGUAUGAAUUGGAUGCAUGGGACUACAAGCUUGAAUAUGGCGCCAUGAAAUCGGAACUAGACGCUUACAUGGAUAGUCUCGAGCGUCUACACUGAGGUAGAGGUCCCCAUUGCUUCACUUGUGCUCCAGCGCACCAUCUGUUGGUGCAUCGUGAAAUUGGAUAGCUUUUUACUUUCUUGGAGCCUCCGACAUCCUCCGUUGGGAGCGUUGGAUUUUAUGUAUAGCUUUCUGAAAGCUCAGCAC
rnacentral:misc_RNA from 1 species